rnacentral:rRNA from 1 species
UUUAAUGGCCGCAGUAUUUUGACUGUGCAAAGGUAGCAUAAUCAUUAGUUUCUUAAUUAGAAGCUGGAAUGAAAGGUUGAACGAGAAAAUAACUGUCUCUUUAUAAAUUUAUUAGAAUUUUAUUUUUAAGUUAAAAAGCUUAAAUAUAUUUAAAAGACGAGAAGACCCUAUAGAGUUUUAUAUAAUUUUUUAUAAUGAUUUAUUUAUUAUUAUUAAAAUUUUAUGAAAAAUUUUAUUUAAUUGGGGUGAUUGAAAAAUUUAAUAAACUUUUUUUUAAUAAAAACAUUUUUUUUAUGAUUAAUUGAUCCAUUAUUAAUGAUUAAAAGAUUAAAUUACCUUAGGGAUAACAGCGUAAUUUCUUUUUAGAGUUCUUAUCGAUAAAGAAGUUUGCGACCUCGAUGUUGGAUUAAAAUAUAUUUUUGGUGUAGAAGCUAAAACAUUAAGUCUGUUCGACUUUUAAAAUUUUACAUGAUCUGAGUUUAAACCGGUGUGAGCCAGGUUGGUUUCUAUCUUUAAAUUAUUAAAAUAUUUUAGUACGAAAGGACCAAAUAUUUAAAAAAUUUUUUAAAUAUUGAAUAAUAAUAAUUU